rnacentral:lncRNA from 1 species
CGUUUUCCUAUUGUCAUCAUUACUGCGCCUCAUUCUUGUCGAUCGGUUUCCCUCGAAUUUUCUACUUUGCCACUAAGUCCAGAAAUCAACCUUUCAAUCCCAACACGCAGCAGUUACUAAUCAAGGGAAAUGUAGAGUUUGUAGCUUCACUUCUUCCCCAAUCUGUUCUUUAAAAAGUGUCCUUGUUCACUCCAUUUCUCAACCUACCUUCCAUUGCUAAAUUUUCAUUUUUGUCGUUUUAUGAAAGAAAGAACAAUAUAUUGCAAUGAUGGAACGUCUCCCAAAUAAUGCUUUCCUCAUCAAUUUCAAUAAGGUCGCAGCAUCUAGUAUGAGGAUCUUUUUUAAAUCCAGCGCAACUUAUGCUCGUCAUCGAAAACUUUCAAUCAACAACGAAGUACUUAAGGCUUUGCCGGGAAGAUGUCUAUUUUAUCUUUCCGAUCAUCAACCUUGUACGGAGAAACGCGCUUUCAUGUAGCAACUUUCUUUCAGUGGGCAUGCAACGUACACCGUAGCACUAGCAUCUCAAUUUUUCCAGCAAAUGGUUCCUGACUUGAAGGAAAUCAAACGAAUUCUGCAUGAAGCAACUAUUCAAGGAUCUAACGGGGAUAAAUAUUUCAUGAUGAUCAUGUUGAAUGUGCAAGCUAGAGGCAGGACUUCGACAUAUGAGUUUUUCUCUGUCUUCAAAGAUCUCUUCGAGCGUAGGAAACUCGCCAAUUGUAAGAGGGCCAUCAUGAACAUCGACUGUUGCUUUCGGUUGAGGGCCCUUCAUCCUUGCUUGGAAUAUAGAUUCAUGUCUACUUCAUACAAGACCUAUAAAGGAGACGGGAGGAAGCCCAAUACCUUUUCGCUACCUCCAGGCUCUGAUGAUUAUUACUCCAUGACAGACAUUUUCCUCUCAUGCCGAUUCUAUGCCGAGAUUCUUUGGUUCCUCGUACAUUUCCGCUUCUCCGAGGGAUUUAAGCUUUGGUCGAUUAUGCUGACGCGGAGCCAUAUUUUUUUAUUUUUUUAUGUAUUGAAAUGUGUUUGUUCUUUAACUAGUUAUUAUUGGAUUUAUAAAUUGCGGUAACAGUAUGAGUUAUGGUUUAAUUGCUAUUACAUCAUGUUUAUUCUGUAUCAAAACACUGAUAUUGAAACCCAGGUUGCGGUUGCAGACCUUAAUAAAAAAAAAUUGGUCACGAUCCAUUUUAUUGUAUAGAAAUGCAAACAAGAAAAUAAUUGGAAUAGUAAUAUUUUAUUUAUUCAUAUCAUUCAAUUAUUACAUCUGAGACUGAGUUUUCUCCAACUCAAUAGUAUUAUUGUAAACUAAAUAAAGAUGAAGUAAAUUUAGGGUACUCUAGAAGGGGGGCAACAUUGCUUGUUAAAAGCGCAUAAUAUGUAGCAAGAAGGCACAUGUGCAUGAUCAUCAACACGAACUCCGGGCCGUGUGGCAUAUGCAUUUUCCAUUAGGCUCAUCGCAACAACGACCAAAAAGAAAACAAACUUCAUUGUCAUUUUCAUAGAACCUUCCAUUUCAGCUAAACAAUUUAUAUUUCAAACAAAACACAAACACUGCAUACAGUGUAUUGAAACACAAGAGAUUAUUUAUACACUGAUAUCAAUCCUUAUCCUAAAAAUAAGCAUACGUGGACAAUGUUGACCAUCAUAUUAAACUAUAGAAAUAUUAUUAAUAAUUUUUAUUAUCAAUAAAUAAAUAGCUAUGUAUAUAUAUUGACUUUAUUAAAAGUUAAAAGAAGUUAUUAAUCGAUGAAAAAUUAGAAAUGAAAACAAUUUUAAUAUUACAAAAUUAUUUUACUAUGUAUGAUGUCGUUUUUAGGUGUGAAAUCUAAAACACUAUAGAAAGGGAAGACUGGUCUAGCCAAUCAGGUUGACGGUGAACCAGAAUAAUUUUUUUGUGCCUCGUAGUCUGUGUGUGUGUGUGUGCAUAUAUAUAUAUAUAUAUAUUUCCUUUCUUUUAUUAAGACAAUUUUGAUUAAAAUUAUUGUUAUAUAUAUUUUUUUCCUUUCAUAUUAUAACAAAUUAUACUUAUCUUUUAAAAUGAGACCAAUAGUAUAAAAAAUAUAAUAUAAAUUCUAUUCUUCGAAUCUUUCGCGUUUUCCUAUUGUCAUCAUUACUGCGCCUCAUUCUUGUCGAUCGGUUUCCCUCGAAUUUUCUACUUUGCCACUAAGUCCAGAAAUCAACCUUUCAAUCCCAACACGCAGCAGUUACUAAUCAAGGGAAAUGUAGAGUUUGUAGCUUCACUUCUUCCCCAAUCUGUUCUUUAAAAAGUGUCCUUGUUCACUCCAUUUCUCAACCUACCUUCCAUUGCUAAAUUUUCAUUUUUGUCGUUUUAUGAAAGAAAGAACAAUAUAUUGCAAUGAUGGAACGUCUCCCAAAUAAUGCUUUCCUCAUCAAUUUCAAUAAGGUCGCAGCAUCUAGUAUGAGGAUCUUUUUUAAAUCCAGCGCAACUUAUGCUCGUCAUCGAAAACUUUCAAUCAACAACGAAGUACUUAAGGCUUUGCCGGGAAGAUGUCUAUUUUAUCUUUCCGAUCAUCAACCUUGUACGGAGAAACGCGCUUUCAUGUAGCAACUUUCUUUCAGUGGGCAUGCAACGUACACCGUAGCACUAGCAUCUCAAUUUUUCCAGCAAAUGGUUCCUGACUUGAAGGAAAUCAAACGAAUUCUGCAUGAAGCAACUAUUCAAGGAUCUAACGGGGAUAAAUAUUUCAUGAUGAUCAUGUUGAAUGUGCAAGCUAGAGGCAGGACUUCGACAUAUGAGUUUUUCUCUGUCUUCAAAGAUCUCUUCGAGCGUAGGAAACUCGCCAAUUGUAAGAGGGCCAUCAUGAACAUCGACUGUUGCUUUCGGUUGAGGGCCCUUCAUCCUUGCUUGGAAUAUAGAUUCAUGUCUACUUCAUACAAGACCUAUAAAGGAGACGGGAGGAAGCCCAAUACCUUUUCGCUACNUUUUUAUUAAUUAAUUUGAUGAAGAAAAAGAACAAGAAUAUUUCUUUCAAAUUUUUCAAAAAAACAAAGAGAAUAUUCUUUCAAAACCUUACACAUGCGCGUGCCACACUACCAUUUUUUAUUUGUUUAGAUUUUUAUUAAUCAAAGUUGCCAUUAAUAACGAUUUUGCCAUUAAUGAAAACUAACCCUUUUCUCCGGGUUUUCAGUUUUCGUUUGGAUACUCAAAAAAGUGAAAAGUAAAAUGCAAAACAUGGAUUAUCAGUUUUGAUUUUUUGAUUUUAAAAACACCAAUUUUAAAAAUGAUUUUUAGAAACAGUAUUAUAAAACAAUUAUUCAAACAAGUUUUUAAUUCUCUAAUUUUUAAAAACAGAAAAACAGUUUUUAAAAAGGCAAUCAAACAGGCCCUAAGUCUUUAGGUAGAGAGUCCUAGAGCAUAGAAGUCUCUUGAAAUUUUUCUAGACUAAUUAGAAGUCUCUUGCAUUUGUGCUUAAGCAUAGAGAAAUCUCUUGGAUGUGUCCUUGAUCAUUUUGUAAAUAGGUGUGAUUAUAGUGAAACAUACGACAUCUGAGGAAACUUGGAGUGAUUUGAAGUCUAUUGUCUAUUAAUUUAGAGUCUUUGGUUGAAUAGCAGAUGCAUAUGUACCUCAUGAUAAUAGAAAGAAGCUUGAUGCAAAAGGUGUCAAAUGUGUUCAUUUUGGGAUUAUAAAUUAAUAUAAAGGUUACAAGGUUCUUGAUCGCUCGCAAAAUAAAGUAAUAAUCGACAUAGAUGUCAUUUUUGAAGAAUUAAAAUGAUGAAAUUGAGAUGAAAAUCAAAAGGGACUACUAGUGCAAGUUUACAAAAGGGAUGUGAAGAACAACAAUGAUGAAGAACGAGAUUGUGAGAUUCACACUAACAUCUGUGAUUCAAACAGUGAGGAAACUUAUAAGAAUGCUAAGUUUGGAUCUAGCAAUGAAUAAUCUGUUAACGACCCUUAUUUUCUUGUUGCAAGAGACGUCUUAUUGAACAUGUAAUUUCACUCAUAUACCUAAUCCAAAUGAGAUAUACAAAUCUUUUAUAGAAAAAUGCCAAGGAUGUGAAUUCGAGUAUGAGUUUGGGUGUGGAACAACGUUUUUUAGUUAUGUUCUGAAGAAUGGGUAUGUAGCAAUACUAGAACUCUUAGAGAGUUCUCGGGUUUGAGUUUCGCCAGCGUCCUAGAAGAAUGACAACUGUAAAAAUAUAUUGUAUUUUAUCUUUGAGAUUUAAGAAUUUUUUCUUUGUUAUGUACCGAGACACCACUCAUGGUUCAAUAUUUUAUAGAUCGAACUUAAAUCUUUUUUGUUCAUUUAAUUCGCAUAUUAUUCAAGGAAUUAAUCUACAUAGUCUUGCGGAAUAUAUUUCACAUUGGAAAAAUUACAUAAACGUAUAUAUAAUCCAACAUUUUUUUUAUGAAUAAUGACACGAAAAUAAACUAUAUAUUCAAUUUGAUACUUAAGAAAAAAGUAUAUCUCUAACUCACUUAUUUUCCUAAUGUUUAAUUAAAUAAAAAACCGUAAAGUGAAACCAUUAUAAAAAUAUAACAAUAAAUAAAAUCUCUAUUUUGUGAUCGUCCAUAGAAAUCAACCACCAAAUACCACCACAACUGUUACGGCAGGAACAUAAUAAGUUGUCAAAACUCUAACAUCCAAUCUACCCACCUCAUCACUAUCAUCAUUUGUCGCUUCUUCACGGCACUCCGUUGGUAAAAAGACAACUUUUUGAACACUUCUAAUCAAUCAACUUAGUCAUCAAACUUAGGAUAAUUAAACUUGAUCUCAUUGUUUUACAAUGAUCAAGGUACAGAAAAUUGGAGUGUGAUAUCUUCGGUCAUGCACAUAAAUAAGUACAUAUAUUGUAUCAAAAUUCAAAUAACAAAAAAUAAAAUGAAUAAUAAUAUUUUAUUCAUUCAUAUAAUUCAAUUAUUACAUGUGAGACAGGUUUUUCGCCAACUCUAUAUUAUUAUUGUAACCUAUAUAAAGAUGAAAGAAAUUUAGGGUACUAAAGAAGGGGGGCAACAUUGCUUGUUAAAAGCGCAUAAUAUGUAGCAAGAAGGCACAGGUGCGUAGUCAUCAACACUUACUCCUUGUCGUGUGGCAUAUGUGUUUCCCACAAGGCUCAACGCAAUAGCAACAAAAAAGACAACAAACAUCAAUGCCAUUUUUAAAGAACCUUCCAUUUCAGCUAAACAAUUUAUUUUUCAAACAAAGAACAAACUCUGCAUAUAAUGUGUUGAAACAAAAAGGAUUAUUUAUACAGAAAUGUUGAUCCUUAUCCUAAAAAUAAGCAUACGUGGUAUAUAUAUUUCCUUUCUUUUAUUAAGACAAUUUUGAUUAAAAUUAUUGUUAUAUAUUUUUUUUCCUUUCAUAUUAUAACAAAUUAUACUUAUCUUUUAAAAUGAGACCAAUAGUAUAAAAAAUAUAAUAUAAAUUCUAUUCUUCGAAUCUUUCGCGUUUUCCUAUUGUCAUCAUUACUGCGCCUCAUUCUUGUCGAUCGGUUUCCCUCAAAUUUUCUACUUUGCCACUAAGUCCAGAAAUCAACCUUUCAAUCCCAACACGCAGCAGUUACUAAUCAAGGGAAAUGUAGAGUUUGUAGCUUCACUUCUUCCCCAAUCUGUUCUUUAAAAAGUGUCCUUGUUCACUCCAUUUCUCAACCUACCUUCCAUUGCUAAAUUUGCAUUUUUGUCGUUUUAUGAAAGAAAGAACAAUAUAUUGCAAUGAUGGAACGUCUCCCAAAUAAUGCUUUCCUCAUCAAUUUCAAUAAGGUCGCAGCAUCUAGUAUGAGGAUCUUUUUUAAAUCCAGCGCAACUUAUGCUCGUCAUCGAAAACUUUCAAUCAACAACGAAGUACUUAAGGCUUUGCCGGGAAGAUGUCUAUUUUAUCUUUCCGAUCAUCAACCUUGUACGGAGAAACGCGCUUUCAUGUAGCAACUUUCUUUCAGUGGGCAUGCAACGUACACCGUAGCACUAGCAUCUCAAUUUUUCCAGCAAAUGGUUCCUGACUUGAAGGAAAUCAAACGAAUUCUGCAUGAAGCAACUAUUCAAGGAUCUAACGGGGAUAAAUAUUUCAUGAUGAUCAUGUUGAAUGUGCAAGCUAGAGGCAGGACUUCGACAUAUGAGUUUUUCUCUGUCUUCAAAGAUCUCUUCGAGCGUAGGAAACUCGCCAAUUGUAAGAGGGCCAUCAUGAACAUCGACUGUUGCUUUCGGUUGAGGGCCCUUCAUCCUUGCUUGGAAUAUAGAUUCAUGUCUACUUCAUACAAGACCUAUAAAGGAGACGGGAGGAAGCCCAAUACCUUUUCGCUACCUCCAGGCUCUGAUGAUUAUUACUCCAUGACAGACAUUUUCCUCUCAUGCCGAUUCUAUGCCGAGAUUCUUUGGUUCCUCGUACAUUUCCGCUUCUCCGAGGGAUUUAAGCUUUGGUCGAUUAUGCUGACGCGGAGCCAUAUUUUUUUAUUUUUUUAUGUAUUGAAAUGUGUUUGUUCUUUAACUAGUUAUUAUUGGAUUUAUAAAUUGCGGUAACAGUAUGAGUUAUGGUUUAAUUGCUAUUACAUCAUGUUUAUUCUGUAUCAAAACACUGAUAUUGAAACCCAGGUUGCGGUUGCAGACCUUAAUAAAAAAAAAUUGGUCACGAUCCAUUUUAUUGUAUAGAAAUGCAAACAAGAAAAUAAUUGGAAUAGUAAUAUUUUAUUUAUUCAUAUCAUUCAAUUAUUACAUCUGAGACUGAGUUUUCUCCAACUCAAUAGUAUUAUUGUAAACUAAAUAAAGAUGAAGUAAAUUUAGGGUACUCUAGAAGGGGGGCAACAUUGCUUGUUAAAAGCGCAUAAUAUGUAGCAAGAAGGCACAUGUGCAUGAUCAUCAACACGAACUCCGGGCCGUGUGGCAUAUGCAUUUUCCAUUAGGCUCAUCGCAACAACGACCAAAAAGAAAACAAACUUCAUUGUCAUUUUCAUAGAACCUUCCAUUUCAGCUAAACAAUUUAUAUUUCAAACAAAACACAAACACUGCAUACAGUGUAUUGAAACACAAGAGAUUAUUUAUACACUGAUAUCAAUCCUUAUCCUAAAAAUAAGCAUACGUGGACAAUGUUGACCAUCAUAUUAAACUAUAGAAAUAUUAUUAAUAAUUUUUAUUAUCAAUAAAUAAAUAGCUAUGUAUAUAUAUUGACUUUAUUAAAAGUUAAAAGAAGUUAUUAAUCGAUGAAAAAUUAGAAAUGAAAACAAUUUUAAUAUUACAAAAUUAUUUUACUAUGUAUGAUGUCGUUUUUAGGUGUGAAAUCUAAAACACUAUAGAAAGGGAAGACUGGUCUAGCCAAUCAGGUUGACGGUGAACCAGAAUAAUUUUUUUGUGCCUCGUAGUCUGUGUGUGUGUGUGUGCAUAUAUAUAUAUAUAUAUAUUUCCUUUCUUUUAUUAAGACAAUUUUGAUUAAAAUUAUUGUUAUAUAUAUUUUUUUCCUUUCAUAUUAUAACAAAUUAUACUUAUCUUUUAAAAUGAGACCAAUAGUAUAAAAAAUAUAAUAUAAAUUCUAUUCUUCGAAUCUUUCGCGUUUUCCUAUUGUCAUCAUUACUGCGCCUCAUUCUUGUCGAUCGGUUUCCCUCGAAUUUUCUACUUUGCCACUAAGUCCAGAAAUCAACCUUUCAAUCCCAACACGCAGCAGUUACUAAUCAAGGGAAAUGUAGAGUUUGUAGCUUCACUUCUUCCCCAAUCUGUUCUUUAAAAAGUGUCCUUGUUCACUCCAUUUCUCAACCUACCUUCCAUUGCUAAAUUUUCAUUUUUGUCGUUUUAUGAAAGAAAGAACAAUAUAUUGCAAUGAUGGAACGUCUCCCAAAUAAUGCUUUCCUCAUCAAUUUCAAUAAGGUCGCAGCAUCUAGUAUGAGGAUCUUUUUUAAAUCCAGCGCAACUUAUGCUCGUCAUCGAAAACUUUCAAUCAACAACGAAGUACUUAAGGCUUUGCCGGGAUGAUGUCUAUUUUAUCUUUCCGAUCAUCAACCUUGUACGGAGAAACGCGCUUUCAUGUAGCAACUUUUCCAAACAAAAUAUAAUUGUAAUAUAUUAUUUUAUUUGUAGGUUCAAGAAAAAUAUAUAAAUUACAUGCAAACUUGAAACAAAACAAAUAUUUUCACAAGAAACAUAGUCAAGUCUAUACACACAUUAGCGCAGUAGAAAAAACGGACAGACGGGCACUCCCGUACCCGUCUGGACGCUAGUAUAUAUAAGGGCAUGAGAGGAAUAAACGACAGCCAUUAGAUUAAAAUUAACGGAUCAAAUCCUUUUCCACUUUAAUCUGAACGCUCAUGUGAUCCUUCACGACAAGCUCUCCAAUUUCCAUCCCUCUCUCCCACUAUGUUCAUCUUCCGUUUUUUGUUUUGCAAAUCAUCUUCUCUUUUUGACACUUUGUUAUACGAAUUGCUAUUGUGAUAAUCCAUACCAUAAAAAAUCCAAGAUGAAGAAAAAGAGUUUUUAAUUGAAAUAAUAAAAAAGAUAAUCAAUACUAUAUAUAUAUAUUAUGUUUGGGUUGGAGCGAUGGAUUUAUGCUUCAAUGGCCAAACUCAUAUACGUUCUACGUAAUUUUUGUCUAGAUAGGCAUGCCUGUGAAACUUUUGUAUGCAUGACAACCAACAUAAUUCAUUGAUUUGAUUUGAAUUCAUUUGAUAUUUGUGCAGAAAAAUCCAAAAAAGAAAACACCUUUUGAUAAAAGGUUGAAAUCAAGUAAUUGAAAUACCCUCUCUGAUAUAUGGUUUAAAGAAACGAAACCCUAAUUUUUUUUCCUGGCCGAUGGCAGGGGAAUGAAUGAAAGAGGGGGAAACAAUGCUUGAAUGAGGGAGAGGGAACAUUGGUGCGGUAAUACAAAUUUAUGAUUAAUUAAGGCCAUUGGAUUAAAAUAAAUUUAAGGGUUAAGAUUUAGAGUAACUCUAAAGUGUUUCUCUUGGAGUCAAUGGAUCCCUCCUUAUAUAUAUAUAUAUAUAUAUAUAUAUAUAUAUAUAUAUAUAUGCAAAUUCUACGGUACACCCAACAUAUUUGAGUGUACCGGUACACUAGAUCCUUAAAUUUAUAGUUAAAUGAGUUAUUUUUUGAAGAAUAAAAACAAAUUGAAUAUUGCUGAAUAGGUUUUAACUAUAAUUAAAAACAACAUUUUUAUGCAAUGUCUAUUACAUAGGUUAAAGGGAC